CAGUACCGUGAGGGAAAGGUGAAAAGCACCCCGGGAGGGGAGUGAAACAGUACCUGAAACCGUGCGCCCACGAGCAGUCGGAGCAACUUUAUGUUGUGACGGCGUGCCUUUUGUAGAAUGAGCCAGCGAGUCGCUGGCGCGGGGCGAGGUUAACCGAAAGGGAGCCGGAGCGAAAGCGAGCCUUAACAGGGCGACUUGAGUCCCGCGCCGCGGACGCGAAGCCGGGUGAGCUAUCCGUGGGCAGGCUGAAGCGGGGGUAAGACCCCGUGGAGGGCCGAACGCACGUCGGUUGAAAACGGCGGCGAUGACCUGCGGAUAGGGGUGAAAGGCCAAUCAAACCCGGAGAUAUCUCGUUCUCCCCGAAAUAGCUUUAGGGCUAGCGUCGCGCGUUCACCGCCGGAGGUAGAGCACCGGAUGGACGAGGGGGCUUCGCCGCCUACCGAAUCCAACCGAACUCCGAAUGCCGGCGGCCCAGAGCGCGGCAGUCAGAGCAUGUGGGCUAAGCUGUGUGCUCGAGAGGGAAACAGCCCGGACCGCCCGCUAAGGUCCCCAAGUUCCAGCCGAGUGGCAAAGGAUGUGCGUCCGCCCAGACAACCAGGAUGUUGGCUUAGAAGCAGCCAUCCAUUCAAAGAGUGCGUAACAGCUCACUGGUCGAGUGGACAUGCGCCGACAAUACACGGGGCUAAGCUGGACACCGAAGCGGCGGGAUUUUAAUUCAUUAGAAUCGGUAGGGGAGCUUCCCAUGGGCGGAGAAGCCGGAGGGCGACCGACGGUGGAGCGCAUGGGAGUGAGAAUGCUGGCAUGAGUAGCGAGAGACGAGAGAGUAACUCGUCCGCCGUGAACCCGAGGUUUCCUGGGCAAGGCUAAUCCUCCCAGGGUCAGUCGGGGGCUAAGGCGAGGCCGGUAGGCGUAGCCGACGCGCAGCAGGCAGACAUUCCUGCACCGCGCACGCGGCGCUACGACCGACGGGGCGACGGAUGGGGGUGGCUCGGCGGGGUUCUGGACGUCCCCGUGAUGGAGCGCGGCCCGGAGACCAGGCAAAUCCGGUCUCCACGAGGGCGAGGCUCCGGACGAAGCGAUCGAGCGAAGCGAGUGAGCCCGAGGUCCCUAGAAAAACCCCUAGGCAGGCGCGUGCGCGCCCGUACCGCAAACCGACACAGGUGGGUGGGUAGAACAUACCGAGGCGAUCGGGUCAACCAUGGUCAAGGAACUCGGCACAAUGGCCCCGUAACUUCGGGAGAAGGGGUGCCCGCGCGUACGUGAACCGGCUCGCCCGGGGAGCGGAGGCGGGCCGCAGUGGAGAGGCCCAAGCGACUGUUUACCAAAAACACAGGACUCUGCAGAAGCCGCAAGGCGACGUAUAGGGUCUGACGCCUGCCCGGUGCCGGAAGGUCACGCGGAGGAGUUAGCGCAUCGCGCGAAGCCCCGAAGCCAAGCCCCGGUAAACGGCGGCCGUAACUAUAACGGUCCUAAGGUAGCGAAAUUCCUUGUCGGGUAAGUUCCGACCUGCACGAAAGGCGCAACGACUUGGGCGCUGUCUCGACCAUGGACCCGGUGAAAUUGCACUGGUCGUGAAGAUGCGACUUACCCGCGGAAGGACGGAAAGACCCCGUGAACCUUCACUGCAGCUUGGCAUUGGCCGCUGGUCCCGCGUGUAGAGGAUAGGCAGGAGGCACAGAUCCGGAGGCGCCAGCCCCCGGGGAGCCGCCCUUGGAAUACUGCCCUCGCGCGACCGGCGUCCUAACCCGAGGCCGUCAACCGGCUCGGGGACCGUGCCAGGCGGGCAGUUUGACUGGGGCGGUCGCCUCCUAAAGGGUAACGGAGGCGCGCGAAGGUCCGCUCGGGACGGUCGGCAACCGUCCUUUUGAAUGCAAGAGUACAAGCGGGCUUGACUGCGAGGCCCACAAGCCGAGCAGGUGCGAAAGCAGGCUCUAGUGAUCCGGCGGCCCCGAGUGGGUGGGCCGUCGCUCAACGGAUAAAAGGUACUCCGGGGAUAACAGGCUGAUCUUGCCCAAGAGUCCACAUCGACGGCAAGGUUUGGCACCUCGAUGUCGGCUCAUCGCAUCCUGGGGCUGGAGCAGGUCCCAAGGGUACGGCUGUUCGCCGUUUAAAGCGGUACGCGAGCUGGGUUCAGAACGUCGUGAGACAGUUCGGUCCCUAUCCUCCGUGGGCGCAGGAGAACUGAGGAGGUCUACCCCUAGUACGAGAGGACCGGGGCGGACGGGCCUCUGGUGUCCCGGUUGUCGACCAACGGCACGGCCGGCUAGCCACGCCCGGAACGGAUAACCGCUGAAAGCAUCUAAGCGGGAAACCAGCUUCAAGAUAAGUAUUCU
rnacentral:rRNA from 1 species